rnacentral:lncRNA from 1 species
GAUCUAUGAUAUAAAAAAUAUAUACUUUAGAUCUGAAAAUAAAACACACAUCCAUCUCAUCGAUGCUGAAAUCCUAGAUCUAACUAUUAGAUCUAAUAUUGCGAUCAAGGUAAGAUAGAAAUCAUUACCAAACAAAUUUGAUAUUGAUCUCCCCUAGCCUAACAGUUGGAGAAGGUGUUCCUCAGAUUGCUUGUAGCUACAUGAAGUUGUUUGGCCUCUAUAGAAAAAUCUACGUGAAGACUGGCA